GAUGAACGCUGGCGGCGUGCUUAACACAUGCAAGUCGAACGGGAAACUUUUCAUUGAAGCUUCGGCAGAUUUGGUCUGUUUCUAGUGGCGGACGGGUGAGUAACGCGUGGGUAACCUGCCUUAUACAGGGGGAUAACAACCAGAAAUGGUUGCUAAUACCGCAUAAGCGCACAGGACCGCAUGGUCCGGUGGGAAAAACUCCGGUGGUAUAAGAUGGACCCGCGUUGGAUUAGCUAGUUGGCAGGGUAACGGCCUACCAAGGCGACGAUCCAUAGCCGGCCUGAGAGGGUGAACGGCCACAUUGGGACUGAGACACGGCCCAGACUCCUACGGGAGGCAGCAGUGGGGAAUAUUGCACAAUGGGGGAAACCCUGACGCAGCGACGCCGCGUGAAGGAAGAAGUAUCUCGGUAUGUAAACUUCUAUCAGCAGGGAAGAUAGUGACGGUACCUGACUAAGAAGCCCCGGCUAGCUACGUGCCAGCCGCCGCCGUAAUAC
rnacentral:rRNA from 1 species